UACGUAGGGGGCGAGCGUUACCCGGAUUUACUGGGCGUAAAGCGCGUGUAGGCGGCUGGUCAAGCGUGGUGUGAAAUCUCCGGGCUCAACCCGGAAACUGCAUUGCGAACUGACCUAGCUGGAGUGCAGGAGAGGGCAGCGGAAUUCCCGGUGUAGCGGUGAAAUGCGUAGAUAUCGGGAAGAACACCAGUGGCGAAGGCGGCUGCCUGGCCUGUAACUGACGCUGAGACGCGAAAGCGUGGGGAGCAAACAGG
rnacentral:rRNA from 1 species